ensembl:snoRNA
ACAACACCUUUGGUUACAGCAGGCCCGUUCCCUUUGGCCUCUCAUAGUGUCUCACGUUAGAGCAAACUGUGGCCCCGAACCAUUGUCUGGCCUCCUUCCACAGUUGUUGGCACUGAAGUGGGUUGCACAGUA